GGUGAACGCUGGCGGCGUGCUUAAGACAUGCAAGUCGAACGGGCUCUUCGGAGCUAGUGGCGCACGGGUGAGUAACGCGUAACUGACCUACCCCAAAGUCGCGGAUAACGAUUCGAAAGAAUCGCUAAUACGUGAUGUGCUGUCAGAUCCUGUUCUGCCAGUAAAGAUUUAUUGCUUUGGGAUGGGGUUGCGUUCCAUCAGCUAGUUGGUGGGGUAAAGGCCCACCAAGGCGACGACGGAUAGCCGGCCUGAGAGGGUGGUCGGCCACAGGGGCACUGAGACACGGGUCCCACUCCUACGGGAGGCAGCAGUUAGGAAUCUUCCACAAUGGGCGAAAGCCUGAUGGAGCGACGCCGCGUGAGGGAUGAAGGUCUUCGGAUCGUAAACCUCUGAAUCAGGGACGAAAGACACUUUAUGUGGGAUGACGGUACCUGAGUAAUAGCACCGGCUAACUCCGUGCCAGCCGCCGCGGUAAAAC
rnacentral:rRNA from 1 species